UGCAAUCUUUAUUCAUACAACCAAUUACGAAAUUUUACUUAUUUCGUAAAUCGUUUAUUAUACCCUUACAACAUGUCUUAAGAUUGUCUUACGACGAGACGACUUUGAUAGAAUUUAACGGGUCAAAGCUAAAAAAAUAAACCCAUUCUUACCUCAAUCUAACCAAUAUACCCUUAAUCCCUCAUACAAAACUCACGGCUCCCAGUCCCUCUCCUUCCCUAACUCCCUCUUCUAUCUCCCUUCUUCCUCCAUUCUUUCCCCUCACAAGAAAAGGCUCCUACCGUCAUCACCAAGCCCAGCCACGAGUUCCACCACCAACAGCAACCACUUCUCCUCCUCCCUUUAUCGUUGGAGACGACAUCAUCGAGGAACCUUUCUAGUGAUCGUGGAGAAACGGACUUCGCUUCUUGAAGCGUUAUUGUCUGAUUACAGAUCGGAACCGGUCGGGAACGAUGGGUUAGUGGUGUUGAAUAGCGUUCCAAGGAUGUAUAUCGAGCUGAGAACGUAGGAAUUUGUAGAUUUGUAUUAGGAUUUUGGAUAAAUGUAUAUUUGUUUUGGCUGUGCUGGUUAUAUCGGACUUGUAGAGUAUUGUAUGAUUAUCUUGUGUAUUAGUUAGAUGUUGGUUUUGGGAUUUAGCUGAGUUAGUCACGUUGAAGAGCUUGUGACCCCUUUGCUUGAGUUUUAGAAGUGUGAUUUUAGUUUCUUGGAAAACGAACCUAGUGAUGACCCUGUUUACCCAGUCAACGGUAACUCGGGUUGUUACAUUUCCUCCCACAUAAAGAUUUCACUUUCCUCCUCACUCAUAGGAUCUUCUCGCCUCACCGGCCAAUCCCCUAGAAUAACUAUUUCGCUAUCACUAUCGCUCAUAACAUCAUCUCUAUCAGCUAUUCCCCUCUCCACAUCAGCAUUAUAACCAUCCCCCACGUUAUCUUCAUAGGGUUCUUCUACCACUCCUAAGGAAUCUUUCUUCAUAACUUCCCCUUGUUCCUCAUCGGAACUUUCCUCAAAA